rnacentral:tRNA from 1 species
ACGGAUAUGAUGAAAAGGUAGACGUGUUAGAUUUAGGUUCUAAUGAGAUUUUCUCAUGAGGGUUCAAAUCCCUCUAUCCGUA